rnacentral:rRNA from 1 species
AGAGAGAGACAUGCGCGCAUAUCAAUAAGCGGAGGAAAAGAAACUAACAAGGAUUCCCUAGUAACGGCGAGUGAAGCGGGAAGAGCUCAGAUUUGAAAUCUUCAAGGUUCUACCUUGACGAAUUAUAGUUUAUAGAAGUGUUUUCUGUUAGUGGAGUGGCAAAAGUUCUUUGGAAUAGGACAUCAUAGAGGGUGAGAAUCCCGUAUUUGGUCAUUCCUCCUAGCGUUGUGAUACACUUUCAACGAGUCGGAUUGUUUGGGAAUGCAGUCCAAAAUGGGUGGUAAAUUUCAUCUAAAGCUAAAUAUUGGCGAGAGACCGAUAGCGAACAAGUACCGUGAGGGAAAGAUGAAAAAGAACUUUGAAAAGAGAGUUAAACAGUACGUGAAAUUGUCAAAAGGGAAGCGUUUGACACCAGUGUUGUUUUUCCGGAAAAUCAAUUACGAAUGUUUUGUUUUUGAGGAGUUAUGACUUCAUCGGCUUGCUCCUUUCUUUAUGAAACUUUCUUAAUGCACUUUUCGGUUAACAAGUCAACAUCAAUUUCUUUUGUUGUAAAAGGGUAUGAGGAAGGUGGCUUUCUUUUCGGAGAAAGUGUUUAUAGCCUUGUGCCUCUGCAAUCGGAGAGAUUGAGGUCUGCAGCGUAGAUCCUUCGGGGUUAGAUACAGUUUGUGCUAAGUUAUAGCUUUUCAUAGACAACUUGUUGACUAUGUUUAGUCUUGUAGCUUACUCGCUUACUGCUAUUUUACCUACGCUUAGGAUGUUGAUAGUCACAGCGUGUAC